GGAGGAUGUAUUUGCAGAGUUUUUUUAUCGUUGGGCAGCCAGUGAAUUACCAGCCAGAACGAAGGUGAUGAGAUGGCGUCAAAGGUAGCUUUUGAUCACCCAGAACGAUUCUCCGAAAAGUUCGAGUUCAGUGCAGACAACAUUAAGCCCCUGGUUCAGACAUGCAUGACAACUCUAUCCUCAAAGAUAGCUGAAGAAGGGGCAUCUGUUUGAAGGAUGGACUGAAGGGGUCAUCAACUUUUGGGUGCUAUUAAAGUGUCCAUAUACCAAACACAGUUUUGCUUUAUAUGUUGUCACCUGACCUAUGGAGAAAAGGAAGGAGAUGAACUAAAAAGGAAUGCUGAUGUUCAAGAAAUCCACCGAAGGACAAUAUUUAAUCCAGUUUCGAGAGUCAACAUGCCUAAAACGAUAUAUGAUCAUGAAAGGAAUGUAUGGCUAGGUGAUCUCAACUAUAGGAUCAACUUACCAUAUGAGAAGACACACGAACUCAUAUCCAAGCAGGAUUGGAACGAAUUGUUUGGGAAAGACCAGCUGAAAGUAGAGCUGAAGAAGGGCAUCUGUUUGAAGGAUGGACCGAAGGGGUCAUCAACUUUCCUCCAACGUGUAAGUACAAGGUUAACUCAGAAAAGUACAUAAGUGAUGAUAACAAAUCUAGAAGGAGAACACCUGCAUGGUAUAUUUUUGUUCUAAACUUACACUAAUGUCUUAACAGUGCAUACACGAGUCAAGUCUUCUUGCAAAUAUAACAAAAGUAUUUAGUAAUCACAGUAUUAGAAUUUAAACAGUCAUUGGUUCCCUGCUGUUCAGCUUCACUACUUUAUUAAUUGAAAAACAUUCUAUUAGAUCCAACUGAAAUAAAACGACAGGCGGUUAAAAGUGUUAAUUCUCAAAUUCGGUGUGUUGCUUCCUUACUCAUACUUAUAUUAUGGUGUGUAACUCUGUACAAGAUUAAAUGGUUGAAAUGCCCCACCGGUGCAUCUUUUGGUUUCGGUGGUAAACUUGUUUCUUUCCAUCCGGUGGCACCCACCCAAGGUGCGCAAACAUCUACAUCUGAGGUACAUGUGCACAAUUUGGUGAUUGAGCAAAGUCUGGUGAGCCAAUCAACUGAAUUUGAAGCUGUUAUUCAGAAUGGCGACAAAAGUUCGCUACGUGCUCUGUGUGAAAAAAAUACCAAGAAUCUUUAUCUGACGAGGAGAGAGAAACCUGGGGCUUCUUAAGGGUUAUGUUUGAGGACGGGGAUUUUGCAAGGACAAAAUUGCUUGCUCAUCUUGGCUUCGAACCACCUCAGGCACCGCCUGCAAGUUCAACUAAUGAAUUGAGCCAAAUAUUGGCAGAUACACUUAAUAUUGAUCAUGCUGCAGUAACCGAUAAUGCGGAUGCCCAGUUUCUUAUUGAUAAUGGGGAUGAUUUUUUCAACAAUCCUCAACCUUCAGAGGCUAGCUUGGCUGAAGAAUCAGUUUCUACAAAUGGUCAACAGAUAGAACAGGAAGUUUCUGGAGAUGCUGUGCCAUCAGAUCCAUCAAUUGACAAAAGCAUUCAACAUGCGUUGGUGGUUGGAGACUACAAAGGGGAAGUUAACUAGUGUCUUGCUUCUAAUCGUAUGGCUGAUGCUUUGGUUAUAGCCCAUGCAGGUGGUUCUGCUCUCUGGGAAAGCACAAGAAAUCAUUAUCUCAAGAACAUUAUCUCACCCUACU